UCGAGCGAGUCUGCCUUGAAGAUCGGAGUGCUUGCACUCUGUGAAACAAGAUACAGGCUAGCGGCGGACGGGUGAGUAACACGUGGGUAACCUGCCCAAGAGAUCGGGAUAACACCUGGAAACAGAUGCUAAUACCGGAUAACAACAGAUGAUGCCUAUCAACUGUUUAAAAGAUGGUUCUGCUAUCACUCUUGGAUGGACCUGCGGUGCAUUAGCUAGUUGGUAGGGUAACGGCCUACCAAGGCGAUGAUGCAUAGCCGAGUUGAGAGACUGAUCGGCCACAUUGGGACUGAGACACGGCCCAAACUCCUACGGGAGGCAGCAGUAGGGAAUCUUCCACAAUGGACGCAAGUCUGAUGGAGCAACGCCGCGUGAGUGAAGAAGGGUUUCGGCUCGUAAAGCUCUGUUGUUGGUGAAGAAGGACAGGGGUAGUAACUGACCUUUGUUUGACGGUAAUCAAUUAGAAAGUCACGGCUAACUACGUGCCAGCAGCCGCGGUAAUACGUAGGUGGCAAGCGUUGUCCGGAUUUAUUGGGCGUAAAGCGAGUGCAGGCGGCUCGAUAAGUCUGAUGUGAAAGCCUUCGGCUCAACCGGAGAAUUGCAUCAGAAACUGUCGAGCUUGAGUACAGAAGAGGAGAGUGGAACUCCAUGUGUAGCGGUGAAAUGCGUAGAUAUAUGGAAGAACACCGGUGGCGAAGGCGGCUCUCUGGUCUGUUACUGACGCUGAGGCUCGAAAGCAUGGGUAGCGAACAGGAUUAGAUACCCUGGUAGUCCAUGCCGUANACGAUGAGUGCUAAGUGUUGGGAGGUUUCCGCCUCUCAGUGCUGCAGCUAACGCAUU
rnacentral:rRNA from 1 species